UGUUAAAUUGGAUUGAUAGUGUCCUUAAUUGUGGGCAAUUUUCUGUGAAAGCAUGGUUAAAAAUUUUUUUAAACCUCUCAUAUUUCUAAACAAUUUCACUUUAGAGUUCAUAAUAUUACCUGAUGGGAAGCACUGAAAUGAAAAAGGCAAGAAUAUGUGCAAUCUGGGGAUUAUCGAUAUUUCAGCACAUGUUUAUGUAUCCAGGUAAAUGGUGGCACCUUAGUGUAAAUUGAAGCUCUCUAAUGACAGCACAAGUAUACCGAUGUAAUUUAUAAAUUUAAAGAAAUGGAUCUAAUUUAUAGGUUCAAGAAAAACUUAAUGCUGUUUUACGAGAAAGUCAUAUCUGCAAAAGAAGAAGAGAAUAAAGAAAAAACUCUUACAAUAUUUUUAUAGUUUAUUGAACUUUUAUCACUGUAACGGAAUGAUUAUGUAUCUUUAUAUCACA